rnacentral:rRNA from 1 species
UACGAAGGGGCUAGCGUUGCUCGGAAUCACUGGGCGUAAAGGGUGCGUAGGCGGGUCUUUAAGUCAGGGGUGAAAUCCUGGAGCUCAACUCCAGAACUGCCUUUGAUACUGAGGAUCUUGAGUUCGGGAGAGGUGAGUGGAACUGCGAGUGUAGAGGUGAAAUUCGUAGAUAUUCGCAAGAACACCAGUGGCGAAGGCGGCUCGACUG